AUUCCAGCUCCAAUAGCGUAUACUAAAGUUGUUGCAGUUAAAAAGCUCGUAGUUGAAUUUCUGGUCGUGGCGAUCGGUCCGCCCCUCACGGGGUGUGCACCUGGUCUCUACGUCCAUCCUCGGGGAGAGCAUGCCUGGCAUUCAGUUGUCGGGUAUGGGAUCCUCGUCAUUUACUGUGAGCAAAAUAGAGUGUUCAAAGCAGGCUUAGGCCGUUGAAUACAUUAGCAUGGAAUAAUAAGAUAGGACCUUGGUCUAUUUUGUUGGUUUGCAUUCCAAGGUAAUGAUUAAUAGGGAUAGUUGGGGGUAUUCGUAUUCAAUUGUCAGAGGUGAAAUUCUUGGAUUUAUGGAAGACGAACUACUGCGAAAGCAUUUACCAAGGAUGUUUUCAUCG
rnacentral:rRNA from 1 species